GUGGGGAAUCUUAGACAAUGGGGGAAACCCUGAUCUAGCCAUGCCGCGUGAGCGAUGAAGGCCUUAGGGUUGUAAAGCUCUUUCAGCUGGGAAGAUAAUGACGGUACCAGCAGAAGAAGCCCCGGCUAACUCCGUGCCAGCAGCCGCGGUAAUACGGAGGGGGCUAGCGUUGUUCGGAAUUACUGGGCGUAAAGCGCGCGUAGGCGGACCAGAAAGUUGGAGGUGAAAUCCCAGGGACCAACCCUGGAACUGCCUUCAAAACUCCUGGUCUGGAGUUCGAGAGAGGUGAGUGGAAUUCCGAGUGUAGAGGUGAAAUUCGUAGAUAUUCGGAGGAACACCAGUGGCGAAGGCGGCUCACUGGCUCGAUACUGACGCUGAGGUGCGAAAGCGUGGGGAGCAAACAGGAUUAGAAACCCGGGUAGUCC
rnacentral:rRNA from 1 species